GCAUGCAUAAGGUACCAAAUGGAGGAACGUAAGAAACUGUACAUUCAAGCAUGCAUAAGGUACCAAAUGGAGGAACACAAUAGACUGUACACUCAAGCAGGCAUAACAUACUAAAUGGAGGAACACAACAGACUGUACACCCAAGCAUGCAUAAGGUACCAAAUGGAGGAACGCAACAGAAGCAUGCAUUACGUACCAAAUUGAGGAACACAACAGACUGUACACCCAAGCAUGCAUAAGGUACCAAAUGGAGGAACGCAACAGAAGCAUGCAUUACGUACCAAAUUGAGGAACACAACAGACUGUACACCCAAGCAUGCAUAAGGUACCAAAUGGAGCAAUGCAACAGACUGUACAAAUAAGCGUUCAGAAAAUAAUCGUUACCAAAAGGAGGAAUGCAAUAGACUGUACAAUUAAAGCUUUUGAUUAAUAAAGUUGACAAAAUAGAAAAUACA